rnacentral:tRNA from 1 species
GGGCCGUUAGCUCAGCCGGUUAGAGCGGUCGACUCAUAAUCGAUUGGUCGCAGGUUCAAGUCCUGCACGGCCCACCA